rnacentral:misc_RNA from 1 species
GAUGAAGAACGCAGCGAAAUGCGAUAAGUAAUGUGAAUUGCAGAAUUCAGUGAAUCAUCGAAUCUUUGAACGCACAUUGCGCCCCUUGGUAUUCCGGGGGGCAUGCCUGUUCAAGCGUCAUUUCAACCCUCAAGCUCAGCUUGGUAUUGAGUCCAUGUCAGUAAUGGCAGGCUCUAAAAUCAGUGGCGGCGCCGCUGGGUCCUGAACGUAGUAAUAUCUCUCGUUACAGGUUCUCGGUGUGCUUCUGCCAAAACCCAAAUUUUCUAUGGUUGACCUCGGAUCAGGUAGGGAUACCCGCUGAACUUAAGCAUAUCAAUAAGCGGAGGA